ACAGAUAUAGUUUUAAAAAAAAGUUUUAAACAAACGCCGAACACAUCCGUCGUCCGUACAAUAAAAGCCUUUUGAUUUGGCGGAGAGAUGCGAUGGCGGGGUGGGUUCUGAUGACGUCGUCGUUGUACGGACCAUCCUAGUUUUUUUUUUUUUUUUGAUUACUCAGGGUAAAUCCCCGGACCUAUGGAAGGAUCCGAGACUAAUCCCUGGAGAGAGGGUAUCCCACAAGUGAUGACCAAACAAAUAAAUCUAGUUUUUUUUUCCUCUCUAAAAAGUAACUUUUGUGAAAUUUGAACCGUGUUCAGUCAUAUUUUUUUUUUUAAGAAUAAAGUAUUUUUUGACAUUUUCUGGUAUAAAGUUUUGAAUGUAGAAGAAAACUAAAUUACUAAUCAAAAUUAAUAACAACAUAUUGAGAUAUUUAGAGGUUUUUCAGAUGUAGAAAUCAUGAAUAUCGACCAUACUUGUUGUAAAACUUGUUAAUUAUUAUCAAAAUCGACCAUACUAAAAAU
rnacentral:lncRNA from 1 species